rnacentral:tRNA from 1 species
UGAGGUGUAGCCAAGCGGUAAGGCGACGGGUUUUGAUACCGUUAUCGUAGGUUCGAAUCCUACCACCCCAG